rnacentral:rRNA from 1 species
AUGCCUAACACAUGCAAGUCGAACGGGAUCCGGACUUCGGUUCGGUGAGAGUGGCGGACGGGUGAGUAAUGCGUGGGAACCUGCCCAGUGGUGGGGGAUAACUGCGGGAAACUGCAGCUAAUACCGCAUGAGCCCGAGAGGGGAAAGAUUUAUCGCCAUUGGAGGGGCCCGCGUUCGAUUAGGUAGUUGGUGAGGUAAUGGCUCACCAAGCCUUCGAUCGAUAGCUGGUCUGAGAGGAUGAUCAGCCACACUGGGACUGAGAUACGGCCCAGGCUCCUACGGGAGGCAGCAGUGGGGAAUAUUGGACAAUGGGGGCAACCCUGAUCCAGCAAUGCCGCGUGAGUGAUGAAGGCCUUCGGGUUGUAAAGCUCUUUUGCCAGGGACGAUGAUGACGGUACCUGGAGAAUAAGCCCCGGCUAACUUCGUGCCAGCAGCCGCGGUAAUACGAAGGGGGCAAGCGUUGUUCGGAAUUACUGGGCGUAAAGGGCGCGUANGCGGCUUAUCAAGUCAGGCGUGAAAUUCCCGGGCUCAACCUGGGGGCUGCGCUUGAUACUGAUGAGCUUGAAUGCGGGAGAGGAUAGUGGAAUUCCCAGUGUAGAGGUGAAAUUCGUAGAUAUUGGGAAGAACACCGGUGGCGAAGGCGGCUAUCUGGCCCGUAAUUGACGCUGAGGCGCGAAAGCGUGGGGGGCAAACAGG